rnacentral:tRNA from 1 species
GGGCGUUUAGCUCAGGGGGAGAGCGCUUCCUUCACACGGAAGAGGUCAUUGGUUCAAAUCCAAUAACGCCCA